rnacentral:rRNA from 1 species
AGCACGCGAAGAACCUUACCAGGUCUUGACACUUUUGAUCACCUGAGAGAUCAGGUUUCCCCUUCGGGGGCAAAAUGACAGGUGGUGCAUGGUUGUCGUCAGCUCGUGUCGUGAGAUGUUGGGUUAAUUCCCGCACCGACCCCACCCCUUAUGACUAUUUGCCAGCAUUUAUUUGGGCACUCUAGUAAGACUGCCGGUGAUAAACCGGAGGAAGGUGGGGAUGACGUCAAUCAUCAUGGCCCUUACGAGUAGGGCUACACACGUGCUACAAUGGA